rnacentral:rRNA from 1 species
GACGAACGUUGGCGGCGUGCUUAACACAUGCAAGUCGAACGGAAAGGCCCUGCUUUUGUGGGGUGCUCGAGUGGCGAACGGGUGAGUAACACGUGAGUAACCUGCCCUUGACUUUGGGAUAACUUCAGGAAACUGGGGCUAAUACCGGAUAGGAGCUCCUGCUGCAUGGUGGGGGUUGGAAAGUUUCGGCGGUUGGGGAUGGACCCGCGGCUUAUCAGCUUGUUGGUGGGGUAGUGGCUUACCAAGGCUUUGACGGGUAGCCGGCCUGAGAGGGUGACCGGCCACAUUGGGACUGAGAUACGGCCCAGACUCCUACGGGAGGCAGCAGUGGGGAAUAUUGCACAAUGGGCGGAAGCCUGAUGCAGCAACGCCGCGUGCGGGAUGACGGCCUUCGGGUUGUAAACCGCUUUCGCCUGUGACGAAGCGUGAGUGACGGUAAUGGGUAAAGAAGCACCGGCUAACUACGUGCCAGCAGCCGCGGUGAUACGUAGGGUGCGAGCGUUGUCCGGAUUUAUUGGGCGUAAAGGGCUCGUAGGUGGUUGAUCGCGUCGGAAGUGUAAUCUUGGGGCUUAACCCUGAGCGUGCUUUCGAUACGGGUUGACUUGAGGAAGGUAGGGGAGAAUGGAAUUCCUGGUGGAGCGGUGGAAUGCGCAGAUAUCAGGAGGAACACCAGUGGCGAAGGCGGUUCUCUGGGCCUUUCCUGACGCUGAGGAGCGAAAGCGUGGGGAGCGAACAGGCUUAGAUACCCUGGUAGUCCACGCUGUAAACGGUGGGUACUAGGUGUGGGGUCCAUUCCACGGGUUCCGUGCCGUAGCUAACGCUUUAAGUACCCCGCCUGGGGAGUACGGCCGCAAGGCUAAAACUCAAAGGAAUUGACGGGGCCCCGCACAAGCGGCGGAGCAUGCGGAUUAAUUCGAUGCAACGCGUAGAACCUUACCUGGGUUUGACAUGGAUCGGGAGUGCUCAGAGAUGGGUGUGCCUCUUUUGGGGUCGGUUCACAGGUGGUGCAUGGCUGUCGUCAGCUCGUGUCGUGAGAUGUUGGGUUAAGUCCCGCAACGAGCGCAACCCUUGUUCACUGUUGCCAGCACGUUAUGGUGGGGACUCAGUGGAGACCGCCGGGGUCAACUCGGAGGAAGGUGGGGAUGACGUCAAGUCAUCAUGCCCCUUAUGUCCAGGGCUUCACGCAUGCUACAAUGGCUGGUACAGAGAGUGGCGAGCCUGUGAGGGUGAGCGAAUCUCGGAAAGCCGGUCUCAGUUCGGAUUGGGGUCUGCAACUCGACCUCAUGAAGUCGGAGUCGCUAGUAAUCGCAGAUCAGCAACGCUGCGGUGAAUACGUUCCCGGGGCU